GCCCCUAUUCAAAAAUUUCAAAAACUCUCUUUGACUCUCUCUUCCAACCGAACAUGCCUCAAAAUCUCUCUCUCUCAUGCCUUAAAAAAAAAGCCACCAGUGAUGCUCCGGUUACCUCUCCACCGAAGAAUGAAUGUGAACCAACAGUGUUUCAGCUACCCACCCAAAUGUGAUUAGAUUUGGGCAUGCCAAAUAACAUUGUUAUUGGCUCUCACGUUUGGGUUGGAGAUCCAGAAUUAAUUUGGAUUGAUGGACAAAUAAUAAAUGUAAAUGGAGAGGAAGCUAAGAUUCAAACUGGUAAUGGGAAGACGAUACCGUUCAUUGGAUCACAUUCCAUACUUGGGAGGGCAGUUGUUGUGAAUGCUAAUCCUAAUAUGAUUUGGAAUUAUGAAAGGCCAUUGUUUUAAAGCUACGUGUAUCUCUAUUGGAUCUAGCUAACUUUUCCUUUUUGCUUGGAGAGGUGUGCGUGCAAAAGAAGGCUCAAAAAAAUUUGGAAACCAACUUUGGCAUAUUAACUACCGUUGAAAUGAAGAUACAAGUCCAGAGUACAAAACGCAAAAGAAGACUAAGUGAGAUUGAAGAAGAAACAAGGUCGUUUUGUGUAAAUGAGGACCUGAUGACACUUAGUGACACAACUGUGUUUUGCAAUCUCUUUAGUAAUUGUUUUAGUGAAACGCUUAGACAAAUUAGUUCUAAUUUCCUGUUAUGAAUUAAGUCCACGUGUUAGCUUGUAAUUAGUAGUUAGAUUAAAAUAGUUUUCCUGCCUAAUCAAGGAAGUUAGUUUUGCUUAUUUCUUUUCCAGAUUUUGUAUAUAAGGGAUUAGAUUUUUUCUAUCUAUUCUCAGUUGCUUGUAAUCACUUUUACUCAUCAAUAAGAAAACUAAGUUCUAUUUA